rnacentral:rRNA from 1 species
GAUGAACGCUAGCGGCAGGCCUAACACAUGCAAGUCGAGGGGCAGCACAGAAACAGCAAUGUUUUGGUGGCGACCGGCGGACGGGUGCGUAACGCGUAUGCAACCUACCUUUAACAGGGGGAUAACGGAGAGAAAUUUCCACUAAUACCCCAUAACAUCGAUCAAGGCAUCUUGAUUGGUUGAAAACUCCGGUGGUUAAAGAUGGGCAUGCGUUGUAUUAGGUAGUUGGUGAGGUAAUGGCUCACCAAGCCUACGAUACAUAGGGGGACUGAGAGGUUAGCCCCCCACACUGGUACUGAGACACAAACCAGACUCCUACGGGAGGCAGCAGUGAGGAAUAUUGGUCAAUGGGGGCAACCCUGAACCAGCCAUGCCGCGUGCAGGAAGACGGCUCUAUGAGUUGUAAACUGCUUUUAAACAGGGAUAAAGCACAGUAUGUAUACUGUGAUGAAGGUACUGUAAGAAUAAGGAUCGGCUAACUCCGUGCCAGCCGCCGCCGUAA